GACGAACGCUGGCGGCGUGCUUAACACAUGCAAGUCGAACGGAAAGGCCCUGCUUUUGUGGGUUGCUCGAGUGGCGAACGGGUGAGUAACACGUGAGUAACCUGCCCUUGACUUUGGGAUAACUUCAGGAAACUGGGGCUAAUACCGGAUAGGAGCUCCUGCUGCAUGUUGGGGGUUGGAAAGUUUCGGCGGUUGGGGAUGGACUCGCGGCUUAUCAGCUUGUUGGUGGGGUAGUGGCUUACCAAGGCUUUGACGGGUAGCCGGCCUGAGAGGGUGACCGGCCACAUUGGGACUGAGAUACGGCCCAGACUCCUACGGGAGGCAGCAGUGGGGAAUAUUGCACAAUGGGCGGAAGCCUGAGGCAGCAACGCCGCGUGCGGGAUGACGGCCUUCGGGUUGUAAACCGCUUUCGCCUGUGACGAGGAGUGAGUGACGGUAAUGGGUAAAGAAGCACCGGCUAACUACGUG
rnacentral:rRNA from 1 species